rnacentral:lncRNA from 1 species
UUUAGUGUCUUCCACUUGCAACACAAUAUGCAGAUAAAAGAUGUGAGUCAUGACUCUAUUACAAUUACUGAAGUUGCGUUUAGGUUUGGGCUGGAGGGGAAGAACACAAUAUGUGGAAACAUGUGAAUACUGAGUUGGAGAGAGAGAGUGUCUUCCACUUUUAAUACAAUUAUGUAGAUCAAAGAUGUGAGUGCUUUGAAUAUUAUAAUUAGGUAAAAUGCGUUUAGGUUUGGCUUGAAGGAUGGAGGGAUGGGGACAGAGGGUAAUAACUUCAACCAUCCUAUCUAAUAACUAAUAACUAAGUUGUCGUUUUGGAUACACUUCUUGUUUUCUGUUUUUAAAAAUAAAAAAUGAUAGUACUUAUAAAAAAAAUAGAAAUAAAAAAUGAUAGUGACUUCUAUAUAUAAAAUACAGGAACUUUUAUGGAAAAAGUAUUAGAUUUGCCUAAUGCCUUUAAAAAUUACUUUUAAAAUUUUUAAAAUUUGAGAUAAUAAUUUUUUUUUAAU